GUGCGUCGGAGUGAGCCCGGAUGGGGCGGCGGGCUUCGGGAGCGCCCGGGCUGAUCCGAGCCGAGCGGGCCGUAUCUCCUUGUCGGCUCCGCUGAUUCCCGGCUCUGAGGAGGCCUCUAGGCAGCCGCGCAGCUUCCGUGUUUGCUGCGCCCGCACUGCGAUUUACAACCCUGAAGAAUCUCCCUAUCCCUAUUUUGUCCCCCUGCAGUAAUAAAUCCCAUUAUGGAGAUCUCGAAACUUUAUAAAGGGAUAUAGUUUGAAUUCUAUGGAGUGUAAUUUUGUGUAUGAAUUAUAUUUUUAAAACAUUGAAGAGUUUUCAGAAAGAAGAAUGUCUACAUAUUCAACUUUCCCCGCCGGGGUUCCUGUCUCAGAAAGGAGUCUUGCUCGUGCUGGUUUUUAUUAUACUGGUGUGAAUGACAAGGUCAAAUGCUUCUGUUGUGGCCUGAUGCUGGAUAACUGGAAACUAGGAGACAGUCCUAUUCAAAAGCAUAAACAGCUGUAUCCUAGCUGUAGCUUUAUUCAGAAUCUGGUUUCAGCUAGUCUGGGAUCCACCUCUAAGAAU
rnacentral:sRNA from 1 species